rnacentral:tRNA from 1 species
GAAAUAAGUAUUCAAGUUAAAGCUUCUAACUUUAAACUUAAGCGAUUUAAUUACGUUUUUAUUUCU